UGAGAAGAAUGUGAGCCCAGUGAUGGA
rnacentral:piRNA from 1 species